GUGAACCUGCGGAAGG
rnacentral:rRNA from 1 species